UACGAAGGGGGCUAGCGUUGCUCGGAAUCACUGGGCGUAAAGCGCACGUAGGCGGACUCUUAAGUCGGUGGUGAAAUCCUGGAGCUCAACUCCAGAACUGCCUUCGAUACUGAGAGUCUCGAGUCCGGGAGAGGUGAGUGGAACUGCGAGUGUAGAGGUGAAAUGCGUAGAUAUCUGGAGGAACACCGGUGGCGAAGGCGGCAUCCUGGACCAUGACUGACGCUGAGGAGCGAAAGCCAGGGGAGCAAACGGG
rnacentral:rRNA from 1 species